GGGGACAUGUGCUUAUUCACGCUCCAAAUCCAGUGGACAUUCACGUGCAGGGAUGUGUUGGAGAUAUAAAACUAUUCUCAUGGCCCUCACCUACAAGUUCAAGCUUAUAGGUUAAAGUAGUUUCAUGACAUCUUUUUCCAGAUGGGGGUGUAGGGAAAAUGAAAAGCCAGAGAGAGUGAAAGAGAAAUGGAAACUUUAUCAUCAUAGUUUUUUUUUUGGUUCCUUUUUUU
rnacentral:misc_RNA from 1 species